UUCUUGUUGAUGAAGAGGACCGUCGGUACUUCAAGCAGCAAGAGAUCACUAUGUUCCGCCUAGCAGAAACUUCCGUAAUAAAUCAAGCUGUUGGCGCUUGAGAAUCGCUUAUUACCUUGCUAUUCUGCCUCGAUUUGUAUUCUGAGAUUUCUUUAUGCGCUUGAGACGGCCAUUCUCGCUUAUAUCUUUGCUAUUCUGCCUCGAUCUUUGUAUUCUGAGAUUUCUUUAUGCGCUUGAGAUGGUCAUUCUACAAAGGUGCUGAAAUGACUUUUUAUUGGUAGAUUACGGUAUCUGGGAGAACAUACUUGCAAUUUGUAUAGAGUAGGCAGUUGUGUACAUGAAUUUGAAGUUGGAAUCUCUAGUUGAUGUUUUUGAGAAACACUGGGUCAAAGGACAAGGGAUUAAGUUAAACCGCAAUAAGGAAACCUAAUUUAGCUCGUUGUACUUUGUAUUACAUCGGAUGUUUAUCUUGAUUGCUUCUUCUUUUGUUGCUCUAAGUGUUUUACUGUAUUUUUGCUGCCUUUCUCCGAUAAUGACAUGAGUGACUUAUCAUUGAUUCCUCUACUUCUACUUUUUUUUUUUUUUUUUUU
rnacentral:lncRNA from 1 species